AGAUGAGAUCAUAUCAGCACUAAUGCACCGGAUCUUAUCAGAUCUCCGCAUAUAAGCGUGCUUGGGCGAGAGUAGUACUAGGAUGGCUGACCUCCUAGGAAGUCCUAGUGUUGCACCUC
rnacentral:rRNA from 2 species